UUACUUUCAGAGAUGCUUUGGUGCCUUCGGGAACUCUGAGACAGGUGCUGCAUGGCUGUCGUCAGCUCGUGUUGUGAAAUGUUGGGUUAAGUCCCGCAACGAGCGCAACCCUUAUCCUUUGUUGCCAGCGGUCCGGCCGGGAACUCAAAGGAGACUGCCAGUGAUAAACUGGAGGAAGGUGGGGAUGACGUCAAGUCAUCAUGGCCCUUACGAGUAGGGCUACACACGUGCUACAAUGGCGCAUACAAAGAGAAGCGACCUCGCGAGAGCAAGCGGACCUCAUAAAGUGCGUCGUAGUCCGGAUUGGAGUCUGCAACUCGACUCCAUGAAGUCGGAAUCGCUAGUAAUCGUAGAUCAGAAUGCUACGGUGAAUACGUUCCCGGGUCUUGUACACCCCCGAA
rnacentral:rRNA from 1 species